CUUUAAGAAGGUUCUGCUCUUUCUGAAACUCCGCCUUCAGAAAGUCACCACAACACGGCUCCUCUAUUAACCCUUUAACGACGUUUUUACUGCACAACGUUUGCACUGAGAAGUGGCUCCUAUAAUGAGCUCAGAAGAUGAACAGUUUCAACAGGUGUUCGCCAAUUGCUGCUGGCUAGUCUGAAGGAGUAGAGUGGUGGCGUUGGUUCCCCCCAGGCACUUUGCACAGCUGAAUGGUUGGAAAUUCACAGGUUUCUCAAACAUGCAUGAAAGAAUCAAAUCAAGGCUCCAGAGAACGGAUGGGGACAUUGGUAGGAGAAACUCACUGAAUCAACAGGCAGUUAAGAUUUGCUGCUCUGUGACUUGGAGACUGCUCCUCUGUAAACAUGGCGGCGUUUAGCAUACGGAUGUCUGGAAUCUCUGGUAUGUGUUUGUUAGUCUCUGCGUUUCUGAACGUGCUCCGCAGCAGAUUGUUUGGCUCUGGGGCGGAUAUUAGGCAAAUCAGGCCCAGGGCUCCAUAUGUUGUGACACAGUAGAUGAUAAAAAGACUUUUUUUUUUUUAAAUUGAUGAAAGUCAGAGUGACACGGCAGAAAGACAAACAGUGACACAUAUGUGCCUGAGAAGGCAAGUGGGCGGAACCGGCCGCCAGUACCUGGCCCGGCCGCGGAUCGGUUCCCGUCUGAAGCCGGAGGGGAGGGGGACCGGUCUGACUGACGGACUGUGAGAAAAAAAGGAAAAGGAAACAGUUUUAGUUCGGGGAGAGUUUUGAGUUCCCUGCAGUCAGAAACGGAGGAAGAAGGAGGGAUUUUCCGCUCAAACGCCACACUUCCUAUGUUUGCAGUCUCUGCCUGUUUUGGUUUUGAUUUGCACAUGUGCAUUUUGAGUUUGCUCAAAUAAAGGGGUUUUUUUUCUGGGUCUUUUUCUUCUUCUUUUUUAUAUUUAUAAAAUAAUUUUUUUGUGUAAAUUGACAGGGAAUGUUUGGUCUCCCACCCCCCAAAUUCCAUUAUUUUUUUUGUACUAUAUUUUGUAAGUCCAUCUACUUGGCAGCUCUGUCUCUAAUGUCUCUCCAGGGGGUUGUGUGAGGUCGGGGUCCCUCGGCUCUGUUUUUAGCGGCUCGUUUCCGUUUCCGUCUUGUUCACGCCGUCGCUCAGAUCAAGCUGUUCUCUACUGGCUUUCAUCACCACUCGGAGUUUUUCCAUGGCUCUUGUCUGCUUCAGAAUGUCUUUUGAUUUCUUGGUGACAGAUAUAUACUUAAAAAUGAACCCAGCAUAUAAAGCAAGACAAAAAAAAAAAAAGAUAUUGCAAAAAAUAUAUAUUAUAAUGUUUUAUAA